GAUGAACGCUAGCGGCAGGCCUAACACAUGCAAGUCGAGGGGCAGCACAGAAACAGCAAUGUUUUGGUGGCGACCGGCGGACGGGUGCGUAACGCGUAUGCAGCCUACCUUUAACAGGGGGAUAACGGAGAGAAAUUUCCACUAAUACCCCAUAACAUCGAUCAAGGCAUCUUGAUUGGUUGAAAACUCCGGUGGUUAAAGAUGGGCAUGCGUUGUAUUAGGUAGUUGGUGAGGUAAUGGCUAACCAAGCCUACGAUACAUAGGGGGACUGAGAGGUUAGCCCCCCACACUGGUACUGAGAAACGGACCAGACUCCUACGGGAGGCAGCAGUGAGGAAUAUUGGUCAAUGGGGGCAACCCUGAACCAGCCAUGCCGCGUGCAGGAAGACGGCUCUAUGAGUUGUAAACUGCUUUUAAACAGGGAUAAAGCACAGUAUGUAUACUGUGUUGAAGGUACUGUAAGAAUAAGGAUCGGCUAACUCCGUGCCAGCCGCCGCCGUAA
rnacentral:rRNA from 1 species